AGAGCACCGGACUUUUAAUCCGGGUGUCCCGCGUUCGAAUCGCGGAUGGCUCACCA
rnacentral:tRNA from 1 species